rnacentral:rRNA from 1 species
ACUCCUACGGGAGGCAGCAGUGGGGAAUAUUGCACAAUGGGGGAAACCCUGAUGCAGCCAUGCCGCGUGUGUGAAGAAGGCCUUCGGGUUGUAAAGCACUUUCAGUAGGGAGGAAGGUAGUGUAGUUAACACCUGCAUUAUUUGACGUUACCUACAGAAGAAGCACCGGCUAACUCCGUGCCAGCAGCCGCGGUAAGUACGGAGGGUGCGAGCGUUAAUCGGAAUUACUGGGCGUAAAGCGCAUGCAGGCGGCCUGUUAAGUCAGAUGUGAAAGCCCGGGGCUUAACCUCGGAAUUGCAUUUGAAACUGGCAGGCUAGAGUCUUGUAGAGGGGGUUAGAAUUUCGAGGUGUAGCGGUGAAAUGCGUAGAGAUCUGAAGGAAUACCAGUGGCGAAGGCGGCCCCUGGACAAAGACUGACGCUCAGAUGCGAAAGCGUGGGAGCAAACAGGAUUAGAUACCCCGUGGUAGACUGUCA